CAUUUGACAUGGAGGGAGGGGGAGAGUUUAGUCCAUUUUUCCAUUGUGGUGUCAUCCCAUGUGCAAGGAGAUUGUCUGUAUUGACUUGAGCGUUAAAUGUCGUGCCCCUUUUUAUAUUCUUUCAUCAUACCCGUCAUUGUGUGUCUCGCUUUCUCUUGUAAUGAUUUUGCUUCGAUUUGAUUUCGCCCAAUAGUUGCUUUGCAAAAACGCUUUUUCUUUUCUUUCUUCUUGAAAAUUUAACUGUUUUUUUUUCACCCUCUGCCUUUUUUUGCAAGAAUGAAAAUCUUGGGGCUAAUUUGUGAAAAGCAGGUUUGGAUGGUGGAUUGAGGCUUUGGGUAUGUCGGUUGGCUCUAGAAUUGUUGGAGUACGAGAAGUUGUGUCUCUAGUCUUUCCCCAAACAGCAACUAUUUUGGGGCUUCUGACGAAUUUGACAUGUGGGCAACAACUACAACAGAGAGAAGUAACGUUAAUUGGUGUUAACCUCACUGUCUGAGAAACUUCUGGUACCCACCUUCCCAGUUUUUACCAUCAUCGAAGACAACCAUUGCCAUUUCUGCAGGAUUUUUUGAAAAGCAGUCAUGUUGCUUCUUCACAAAGCUGAUGAAGAAUUAACCCAAAAAAUGGGUCAGCAGUGACUCUAUCUGUUAACUUGUUUUUAUAUGAGGGAUACUGACGUUAGAUGAGGAAACUUCGCGGAUAUGUUCGCUGACUUGACGAUUAGUGUUGUUGUUGAUGCCUCCGGAUCUUCAUAUUCCUCUUAUACAGUGCUAGUCAAAUGUGAAGUGGUUGUAUAAUUUCUCCACUAUUUAUGGGAAUUUGGGAAUUUUCAGGA